UACGAAGGGGGCUAGCGUUGUUCGGAAUUACUGGGCGUAAAGCGCGCGCAGGCGGUCUUCCAAGUCAGUGGUGAAAGCCCGGAGCUCAACUCCGGAACUGCCAUUGAAACUGUUUAGCUUGAGUAUGAGAGAGGUGAGUGGAAUUCCCAGUGUAGAGGUGAAAUUCGUAGAUAUUGGGAAGAACACCGGUGGCGAAGGCGGCUCACUGGCUCAUUACUGACGCUCAGGCGCGACAGCGUGGGGAUCAAACAGG
rnacentral:rRNA from 1 species